AACAAAAACAUGUCCUUUAGAAAAUAAUUAAAGGUUUAACCUGCCCAAUGAUUUUUAAAUGGCCGCAGAAAUUUAACUGUGCAAAGGUAGCAUAAUCAUUAGUUUUUUAAUUGAAAGCUUGUAUGAAUGGUUGGACGAGAUAAAUUCUGUCUUUUUAUAAAAAUUUGAAUUUAAUUUUUAAGUUAAAAAGCUUAAAUUAUAUUGAUAGACGAGAAGACCCUAUAGAUCUUUAUAAAAUUAAUAUUAAGUAUUUUAGGAAUAAUAAAUUUUUAAUAUAAAAUUUUAUUUUAUUGGGGUAAUAUAAAGAUUAAAAUAAUUCUUUAUUUUUUAUUACAUAAAUAUAUGGUUAUUAGAUCCAAUAAUAUUGAAAUAAGAUUAAGUUACCUUAGGGAUAACAGCGUAAUUUUUUUUGAGAGUUCAUAUCGAUAAAAAAGUUUGCGACCUCGAUGUUG
rnacentral:rRNA from 1 species